CUCAGAAAUCGCUCAAAAACGAAAAAGUUGCUUCAAGUUGCUCGAACUGAAAAAAGUUGCUCCAAACGCAAAAAGUUGCUCAAAAGUUGCCGAGCACAAUCGGGCCAUGCCUAUCUUCGACACAAGGUUCUCAAGGUCCAAGUAUACUGAUUAAAGCUUCGCAUCAUAAAAUCGAGGAUCUCUAACCGCUGAAUACCUUGGUUCACAUAAGCUACUAGUUUCUCUUACAGUUCCUCGUCUUCUUUCCAAGCAUCGUUUCGAAAAUAAUUGCCCGCCAUAUAUAUUGGAUUUUAAUCUUGGGCGGGAAGCAAAAUAGAACGCGCGCUGAGCAUCAUGGUAUAUUGUGGCAAUUCUAGGCCAUGGAGCAUUUUCAAU